rnacentral:rRNA from 1 species
AGAGUUUGAUCCUGGCUCAGGAUAAACGCUGGCGGCGUGCCUAAUACAUGCAAGUCGAUCGAUAGAAGUCCAGCUUGCUGGACGGAAAUAGAGGCGUACGGGUGAGUAAUACGUAAGCAACCUGCCCACGAAGACUGGGAUAAUCCCUGGAAACGGGGACUAAGACCGGAUAGGUACAGAGAUCGCAUGAUCUUUGUAUUAAAGGUGAGAGACACUGGUGGAUGGGCUUACGGUGCAUUAGCUGGAUGGUGAGGUAACGGCCCACCAUGGCGAUGAUGCAUAGCCGGGCUGAGAGGCUGAACGGCCACAUUGGGACUGAGACACGGCCCAGACUCCUACGGGAGGCAGCAGUAGGGAAUUUUCGGCAAUGGGGGAAACCCUGACCGAGCAACGCCGCGUGAGUGAUGAAGGUCUUCGGAUUGUAAAGCUCUGUUGUAAGGGAAGAACGGCAUCUAUAGAAUAGGUGAGUGACGGUACCUUACCAGAAAGCUACGGCUAACUACGUGCCAGCAGCCGCGGUAAUACGUAGGUAGCGAGCGUUAUCCGGAAUUAUUGGGCGUAAAGGGUGCGUAGGCGGCCUGUUAAGUUUAUGGUGAAAGCGUGGGGCUCAACCCCAUAAAGCCAUAGAUACUGGCAGGCUAGAGUACUGGAGAGGGUAGUGGAAUUCCAUGUGUAGCGGUAAAAUGUGUAGAUAUAUGGAGGAACACCAGUGGCGAAGGCGACGGUCUGGGCCGCAACUGACGCUCAUUCCCGAAAGCGUGGGGAGCAAAUAGGAUUAGAUACCCUAGUAGUCCACGCCGUAAACGAUGAGAACUAGGUGUUGGGGGAAUAACUCAGUGCCGCAGUUAACGCAAUAAGUUCUCCGCCUGGGGAGUAUGCACGCAAGUGUGAAACUCAAAGGAAUUGACGGGGGCCCGCACAAGCGGUGGAGUAUGUGGUUUAAUUCGAAGCAACGCGAAGAACCUUACCAGGCCUUGACAUCCCUUGCAGAGGUAUAGAGAUAUAUCCGAGGUUACCAAGGAGACAGGUGGUGCAUGGUUGUCGUCAGCUCGUGUCGUGAGAUGUUGGGUUAAGUCCCGCAACGAGCGCAACCCUUGUGAUAUGUUACUAACAUUGAGUUGAGGACUCAUAUCAGACUGCCGGUGAUAAACCGGAGGAAGGUGGGGAUGACGUCAAAUCAUCAUGCCCCUUAUGGCCUGGGCUACACACGUACUACAAUGGCGUCUACAAAGAGCGGCAAGCCUGUGAAGGCAAGCGAAUCUCAUAAAGGACGUCUCAGUUCGGAUUGAAGUCUGCAACCCGACUUCAUGAAGCUGGAAUCGCUAGUAAUCGCGAAUCAGCAUGUCGCGGUGAAUAAGUUCUCGGGCCUUGCACUCACCGCCCGUCA